ACGAGGACAGUGACCCCGCCGCUCCGCCCGCCUCUCCGCCCCGCUUCCUGCUCCCUUCGCCCUCGCCGGCGAGGGGCCCGAGAGUCCACCGAGCCCGCCUCCGCCCCCGGCCCGCCGCCCGCCCGCCCGCCCGCCCCUCCGCGCGCCAUGGACGCCCCGGAGCCGCAGCCCGACCCCGACGGCGGGGACGCCCCGGGCCACGAGCCUGGGGGCAGCCCCCAAGACGAGUUCGACUUCUCCAUCCUCUUCGAUUAUGACUAUUUGAAUCCUAUCGAAGAAGAACCGAGUGCGCAUAAGGUGGCCAGCCCACCCUCCGGACUCUACCCCGAUGAUGUCCUGGACUAUGGCCUCAAGCCAUACAGCCCCCUGGCCAGUCUCUCUGGCGAGCCCCCCGGCCGGCUGCGAGAGCCCGAUAGGGUGGGGCCCCAGAACUUUCUGAGCCCCGCCAAGCCACCGGGGGCCUCGGGCCUGAGCCCUCGGAUCGAGAUCACUCCAUCCCACGAACUGAUACAGGCAGGGGGGCCCUUCCGCGUGAGAGACAUUGGCUUCCUGGGCGAGCAGCCGCCCCCGCCGGGGGUGGCGGCCAGCCCGAGGUUCACGCUGCCCGUGCCCGGCUUCGAGGGGUACCGCGAGCCGCUUUGCUUGAGCCCCGCUAGCAGCGGCUCCUCUGCCAGCUUCAUUUCCGACACCUUCUCCCCCUACACCUCGCCCUGCGUCUCGCCCAACAACGGCGGGCCCGAGGACCUGUGUCCCCAGUUUCAAAACAUCCCUGCUCAUUAUUCCCCCAGAACCUCGCCAAUAAUGUCACCUCGAACCGGCCUCGCUGAGGACAGCUGCCUGGGCCGCCACUCGCCCGUGCCCCGUCCGGCCUCCCGCUCCUCGUCGCCUGGUACCAAGCGGCGGCAUUCGUGCGCCGGGGCCUCGGUUGCCCCGCUGCCCGGAGCCUCACCCCAGCGCUCGCGGAGCCCCUCGCCGCAGCCCCGGGACGACGGCGCCCCCGCCGGGUACCCCCCCUCGGCCGGCCCUGCCGCCCUCAUGGAUGCCUUGAACAGCCUCGCCGGCGACUCGCCCUGUGGGAUCCCCCCCAAGAUGUGGAAGACCAGCCCCGACCCGUCGCCGGUGUCCGCCGCCCCGCCCAAGGCCGGCCUGCCGCGGCACCUCUUCCCCGCCGUGGAAUUCCUGGGUCCCUGCGAGCAGGAGGAGAGGCGGAACUCGGCCCCCGAGUCCAUCUUGCUGGUGCCACCCACCUGGCCCAAGCAGCUGGUGCCCGCCAUUCCUGUCUGCAGCAUCCCAGUGACCGCCUCCCUCCCUCCCCUCGAGUGGCCGCUCUCCCACCAGUCAGGCGCCUACGAGCUGCGGAUCGAGGUGCAGCCCAAGCCACACCACCGAGCGCACUACGAGACGGAGGGCAGCCGCGGGGCUGUCAAGGCCCCGACGGGCGGCCACCCUGUCGUUCAGCUCCACGGCUACAUGGAAAACAAGCCCCUGGGGCUUCAGAUCUUCAUUGGGACAGCCGACGAGAGGAUCCUUAAGCCCCAUGCCUUCUACCAGGUACAUCGAAUCACAGGGAAAACCGUCACCACCACCAGCUACGAGAAGAUCGUGGGCAACACCAAAGUCUUGGAGAUUCCGCUGGAGCCGAAAAACAACAUGAGGGCAACCAUCGACUGCGCGGGGAUCCUGAAGCUGAGGAACGCGGACAUUGAGCUGCGGAAAGGUGAGACGGACAUCGGGAGGAAGAACACGCGCGUGAGGCUGGUGUUCCGGGUGCACAUUCCCGAGGCCAGCGGAAGGAUCGUCUCCUUGCAGACGGCGUCCAACCCCAUCGAGUGCUCCCAGCGGUCCGCCCACGAGCUGCCCAUGGUGGAAAGGCAAGACAUCGACAGCUGCCUGGUGUACGGCGGCCAGCAGAUGAUUCUCACGGGACAGAACUUCACGGCCGAGUCCAAAGUCGUGUUCACCGAGAAGACCACAGAUGGGCAACAAAUUUGGGAGAUGGAGGCCACGGUGGAUAAAGACAAGAGCCAGCCUAACAUGCUUUUUGUUGAGAUUCCUGAGUAUCGGAACAAGCACAUUCGGACUUCGGUGAAGGUGAACUUUUACGUCAUCAAUGGGAAAAGAAAACGAAGCCAGCCUCAGCACUUUACCUACCACCCAGUCCCAGCCAUCAAGACGGAGCCCACUGAUGAGUACGACCCUGCCUUGAUCUGCAGCCCCGCCCACGGGGGCCUGGGGAGCCAGCCGUACUACGCGCAGCACCCGAUGGUGGCCGAGCCCCCCUCCUGCCUCGUGGCCACUAUGGCUCCCUGCCAGCAGUUCCGCUCGGGGCUCUCAUCCCCCGACGCGCGCUACCAGCAGCAGAACCCGGCGGCCGUCCUCUACCAGCGGGGCAAGAGCCUGAGCCCCGGGCUGCUGGGCUACCAGCAGCCCGCCCUCAUGGCCGGCCCGCUGGCGCUGGCGGACGCCCACCGCUCCGUGCUGGUGCACGCCGGCUCGCAGGGCCAGGGCGCGGCGCUGCUGCACUCCAGCCCGGCCAACCAGCAGGCCUCGCCCGUCAUCCACUACUCGCCCACCAAUCAGCCGCUGCGCUGUGGGAGCCACCAGGAGUUCCAGCACAUCGUGUACUGCGAGAACUUCGCGCCUGGCCCCGCCAGGCCCGGCCCGCCCCCUGUCAGUCAGGGUCAGAGGCUGAGCCCUGGCUCCUACCCCACCGUCAUCCAGCAGCAGAACGCCCCCAGCCAAAGAGCCGCCAAAAACGGACCCCCGGUCAGUGACCAAAAGGAAGUGUUACCCGCGGGCGUGACUAUCAAACAGGAGCAGAACUUGGACCAGACCUACUUGGAUGACGAGCUGAUAGACACACACCUUAGCUGGAUACAAAACAUAUUAUGAAACAGAAUGACUGUGAUCUUUGAUCCGAGAAAUCAAAGUUAAAGUUAAUGAAAUUAUCAGGAAGGAGUUUUCAGGACCUCCUGCCCGAAAUCAAACGUAGAAGUCAUUAGCAUGAACGACACCGUCCACAUCGCUGACCCCGGAGCCUCCCAGGCCUCCUCGCCUUCCGCCCUAGCAUCAACCCUGCCCCGGGGCUGCGGGCAGGGCCAAGUACCCGCUGAAAGCUAACCUUCAUUCCUCAGCUCUCCUCCUCUCUCUCUCUGCAUCCCGGGUCUUGCUCUGAAUCCCAAAGACCAUCUCCGUUGACUUUGACGGUGUCCCAUCCAAGCCUUAAGUGCCUGCUGACCCCAGAUACAUUCCGAUCAAGACCACCCGCUGGAACAGAAGAUGGGGGCGUGGCAACUGAACCCCAGCCCUCGCCUUCACUUUCUCGGGUCACCGAUACGACUCUUGUACCUUUUGAAGGAAAGGAGGUUCUCCAACAGAGCAACCAAAGGAACGUGACCUAGCUGACAGGCUGGAGAGAAACAGAGAAGCCGGCCCAUACUCGCCUAGUGGUCGCAUGGGCCUCACUGUGGAUGGGCCACAGCUCAAGCUUGGUUUUUAGAUUUUCUGCUUUGGAAGCAAAAAGAAACAAACCCGAUCUGGCUCAUACAAGUUCACCUGUUAAAACUUCUUGGCCUUAAGUUAUGGCGUGUCUGCUUCCCCCCCACCUUCUCUGCUUUCAAAAAGCUGGCUGGAGGGGGCGCCUUCUCGGCCAGCUGCCUUUCCCCCCUGCACGGGACUGCUGGGCGUCACCCCAGCUGCAGGGUGAGCACCGUCCACUGCGGCCGGACAAGCUUCACAACUCUCUACUCUUCCCACUUACUUUUCUCCAACAGCCCAAGUGCUUUUCCAUAAUGUAGUUAAGAAGAAUCUUAAGCAUGUGCAUUGAAUUUUGGGAAGGAAUGGCAGAAGGGCUGAAGCAAUCCCCUCCCACCGCCCCAAAAAACCACCAUGCAGGUAUCUUUGUUAAGUGUGGUCGCUGGCAGGUCCAAGUGUUUCAGUGGGUGGGUUCCUCCAGGAAGAAGGCUCAGGAUUUGGCUCCAAAGUUCGCUGGUUACCUUUGCCUGGACCCAUUGAAACCCGCCCCCUCCCCCAAAGACCCAUCUACAUUAGCUGCUUCAUCCAACACAAAAGUGACCUAAAUAGAAGCAAACCCAGCCCCUGCACGGCCCUCAAUUUGGAUGCACUCGGCUCUGACCACUCAGAAGGGGUGCGCAGUUUAUCCGCCCCCCAACCCCCGCCCUGUUUAUCUCUGGGAGUGCACCCGCCACUGUCUGUCUCCCCAGGGCAAUUUUUGCAAACAAAACCCUCUAAGUUCUUGGCAGGUGAGUUUUUAAUCACACAGAUGUUUGUUUACACUAAUUGCAGUGACCCCAGGGCAAGCCAGGGAUUCUUUUUUAGAUGUUCAUUGCUUCUCCCCAGUCUGCCUGGAGUAUGAGUACUCCUAGCAGUCUUCGGAAGGCUUUGCUCAGACCUUCUCCCUUAGAGCUGAUAAUCACUCUGAGACGAGUGGCAGUUAAGGGCUCCCCGUGGGUUUUCUAAGUUCUGGCUUGGUUGUCAAGUCUCCCCAGAGAGAGAGCACCUUUCGACAGCUGGACCAGAACUCGGGGCCUGGUGACCCGGGCCUGCUGUGUGCGGGGCUCCAGAGAAAAGAACAGAGUGCCUUUGCAGUCACCUGUCUGCACCCUUUCCGUCAGGACCUAGCAUUUCUUUUCCCCCAAGGAGGGGGACUUUUCCACCCACCCCAAGCAGAGUUUAGCAAAAUUCUUUUCGACAGACAGAGUGUCAGUAAGAAGCUGACCAACAUUGCAGGAUGCAAGCUUUCUGGGAUGCAAAAUUCUUCCUCAUUGAUCAAGAGUUCCUUAUCUAAGCAGCUUUACCCAAAGAACUCUCCAGCAGUGCUGACUUCACGGGGAAGGGGUGAACAAUCUAUUCUCACUUGACCUGGCUGGGAGCCUUUUUUUUUUUUUUUUUUUUUGCACAUGAGGGAAUUUGGCCUUUCCUCGGUUAUCUGAAUGUUUUACCCAAGUGCCUUCCUGCUAUUGUAGCAAAGUCGCUCAGCUGCCUUGUGCAUGGGGUGGAAAAGGACUAAUGCGCUUUCCAUCACUAUUCUAACCACGUUAGUGCAAAGGGCCUCCUAGUAGCUCAGAUUUCUGUACGUAUAGAUGUAUGUGCUUCUGUCUGUAAGACACUCACAAACUCUUUUUUUCUAAGACAUCCUAGUUGGGUAUUAUAGGAAGCACUUUCAUAAACAGCUAUACCAAAUAACAAAGGAAAGAGAAACAAAAGCAUUAGAUUCGGGACAUAAACAGGCAAGAGAACGUAAUAGGAUGUGACAGCAAUCAAGAGAGUUUUGUCAGUGACAGAGGCCGGGGGAAGUUUGGCCAAGUAAACUGUUCAUGAGAUAUUUUCAGUAUGGGAAGAGGCAUUAGGGCCUCAAAGAGAGAGAAAAAGGAUGUCUAAACUGUCAAGAUGGGUGUGUUGCACGUGUGUUAGAAGGAUCUGUUAGGUGGAGGUUUGCACUUGGUACAUCCAAGGUUGUGUAAAUAGAUAACCCUUCCAACAGCGAUCUGCCCUGUUGCUGAAUGUAGUAUAUUUCCAAAGUUUCGAGUCUUCCUGUAUUGUACAAAAAAACUGCUGCUUGAUAAUAUAUAAUGGCAACCCCAAAUUAAUGAGUAUGGUAUUAAAUUUUAUUUUCUUAUCUGUAUUUUUAUGCUUUGUAUCUGUCCUCAAAAUAUCACAUCCUUGUUGGAAUAGAAAAUAUUUAUAAGUGGUUAAAAAUCUUUUUCAAAUGUCUCUUUUUACAUAUCUGUUGAGGAUUUUUUUUUUUUCCUUGAGAGAGAGGAUGUAUUCUUGAAGAUGUGUUACUCAUUCCAGGAGAGCAAAACAAGCCCAGCUCAGAGCCCAUCUCCUGUCUCCUGGAAGAAGCCACGUCCAGAGGCAGGGGAGGGAUGGCUGCGUGGGAGGCAGCGGCACCUGUGUGCUGCCUGCGGACGCUGCCAGCUUCGGCUCUGAGCCGCCUUCUUGUCGCUGAGAACUGGGAAGUGUCUCGGGCCCCAGUAAGUGACCCAGUAGGUGGUUCUGAGGUGACAGAACCGCCUGUGUUGUAAUGGGGAGUCUAAAAAGGCUCACGUCCACGAACAGAAGCACAGGCUGCGGCUUACCGAGCCGACGCAAUCCUGGCAGACAGACACGCCGCCCGAGGGACGCCCAGAGUUCUCCAGCAGAGACACCACCCCGACCAAUCGAGGCGACUCCUUCUAAGAACGGACAUGCACGGACGCGGCCUUUCUUGUUUACAUCCAGUGGUCAAGCCAUCCCUCUCAGGAAGCCAGCCUUGGCCAGCGUGGGAGCUGUCCUGUGCAGACAGAUCGGAAGCCCAUGUGUUCUCAUUUGUCACUCUGGACUAAAGGGAGGCUUGAGUUUGUUUAUUUUCAUGUCAAAUGUCAAACCCUUUCCAAGUGCUUUUUAUUUUGUUCAGAAUUGAAAGAAUGUCAGGGUCUGGUUAACAACUGUUUGCUUUACAUUUACAAGAGGCAUGGGGUUGUGACAUUUUUGACAAGCUGGGGUAAACCUUCCUGAACUCAGUCUUGGAGGCCAGCCCCUUAGGGGGUACCCAACACAUCUUGGGUCUUGGGCGUUAAAUCUCAUGGAGCCAAACCAGCCAAUGCAAGUGGUUUUCCUGCAUUCCAACUGAUUGCCUAAGAAAAAGAAGCAUCACAUGAAACUGGUCCCAAACAUCAGUUUCUCUCAGUUUUCAUGAGUGUCUUGAGUUAUAGCCAACACCACUGUCUUAACUGUUUGCGUACAAACUCUCCUGGUGGCUGGUGAGCUAGCUGUGCUCCCUAAGCCAGCUCCCCUCUCAAAAAUACAAGCUGGGGAGUUGAGUGCUGGAAGAAAGGAUUUAAACCCUGCCUGUAAGUGGCUGCUGGCCAAUUAGAAUAAACUCCGCCUACCUAGUUGGGCUUCAGAUGCAAAUGACGAGAUCAGCAGGUGCUCUCAGCACGCUGACUGACCUGAACUGAUAGAGGCUGCGGCUGGGACAAGCUGAGCACCUUGACACACGUCUUGUCAAAGAGCCUCACUCCCUCCUGUUGCCUCUAGCGCCCUCAGAGGGAGAUGAUGUUGAGAACGUCCUUGUUAACUCUCCAACAAAUAAAAAGUCUCUCCUGGGGUGGUGCUGGAAGGUUUAAAAAAGAUUUUGAAAAUCUUGACUGUUAACAGGAGUUUGAAUACAUCACAUUCCCAUGCAAAACGUUUUUAAUCUCCAGUUUAAUGUAGUUUAUUUUUGCUAUAUGUAAAGUAUUUUUAUACGGCUUGUAUCAUGAUAGUUUAGCAAUAAAACUGUUGAAAGCAA